rnacentral:rRNA from 1 species
ACCAGACUCCUACGGGAGGCAGCAGUGAGGAAUAUUGGUCAAUGGGCGCGAGCCUGAACCAGCCAAGUCGCGUGAGGGAGGACGGCCCUACGGGUUGUAAACCUCUUUUGCCGGGGAGCAACGGGCGUCACGUGUGGCGCCACUGAGGGUGCCCGGAGAAAAAGCAUCGGCUAACUCCGUGCCAGCAGCCGCGGUAAUACGGAGGAUGCGAGCGUUAUCCGGAUUUAUUGGGUUUAAAGGGUGCGUAGGCGGAGUGAUGAGUGAGGGGUAAAAUGGGGGGCCUCCCCCCCUGCCCGCCAUUGAAACUGGCGCUCUUGAGUGGAAGAGAAGUAUGCGGAAUGCGUGGUGUAGCGGUGAAAUGCAUAGAUAUCACGCAGAACCCCGAUUGCGAAGGCAGCAUGCCGGCUUCCGACUGACGCUGAAGCACGAAAGCGUGGGGAUCGAACAGGAUUAGAUACCCGCGUAGG